AGCCGGGCCGGGCCGGGCUGGCGGCGCGGGUGGGGGGAGGCGCAGGUCAGCAGUUUUCUCGCGGGAACGGUGACGCUGUUGAUUUUUACAAAGCGAAAGCGGAGCGCGCACAGGGUUUGCCCAGCAGGAAACGUGCCAUCACCCAGCCUGGGUCAGAGCUGGCCAGGGGAGCGGGACUAUUGUGUCCAGGUCUGGUCGCCGCGGUUCAGGCAGGAUGUGGACAAAUUGGGGAAAGUCCGGAGGAGAGGAACCGAAAUGAUUGAAGGGCUAGACAACAUGACCUAUGAGGGAAGAUUAAAAAAUAGGGUUUCUUUAGUUUGGAGAAGAGAAGACUGAGAGGGGACACGAUGACAGUUUUCAAAUACGUAAAAGGGUCUUACAAAGAGGAGGGUGAAAAAUUAUUCUCCGUAACAUUUGAGGAUAGAACAAGAAGCAAUGAGCAUAAAUUUCAAGGAAGUUUUAGGUUCAUUAUCAUAGAAUAUCAGGGUUGGAAGGGACCUCAGGAGGUCAUCUAGUCCAACCCCCUGCUCAAAGUAGGCCCAAUCCCAGACAGAUUUUUGCCCCAGGUCCCUAAAUGGCCCCCUCAAGGAUUGAACUCACAACCCUGGGUUUCGCAGGCCAAUGCUGUUGGACAUUAGAAAAAAACUUCUUAACGGUCAGGGUAAUUAAACACGGGAACAAAUUGCUGAGGAAGGUUGUGGAAUCUCCAUCACUGGAGGUUUUCUUUAAGAACAGGUUAGCUAAACACCAGUCAGGAAUGGUCUAGGGCAGGGGACUGGACUAAAUUACCUAUUGAGGUCCCUUUCUGUCCUACUCUUCUAUGAUCCAGCACUAUUCCCUGCCCCUCAUUGUCAUCAUCUCUCCCGCUCUCUCCAAAACAUACAUCUCAAUCUACCAUCCGAAGAAGUAAGACUCAGUCAUGUACGGUACAUACGGGAUCCUUCUAUACAGGGAAAUAUUCACCUCUCAGAUUCCAGAUGUUGGGGAAAGAUUCCCGUUUGUCCUGCUUGAGGUCAUAAGAUCUCUCAAAUAUAUGUUAAGAAUGAAUUGAUCCACUGGUCUACAUGAAGUUGUGUAGGAUAUUUCCAAUAAUGACAUUAUUUUAAUGCCUCAGGUUUCACAGCCACAUUUCUGGAGCUGUGUGCAAACCUGCAGCACAGAGGCACCAAAAUGAGAACUGUAUGGACAGUGGAGAAGCAAAUGGCAAUCACUCUGGAAGCUUGCAAUGGCAGAUUGUUAUUGGCCACUGGACUAUCAGUUUGGAGUUGGAAAAUCCAUAGAUUGUCAUCCAAGUGCGUAAGGCCAUGACACAUCUCCUGCUAUGCUGGACUGUGACUCUUGGCAAUGUGCAAGAAAUAGUGGCUAGAUUUGCAGCAAGGGGCUCCUUGACUGCAGUGCAGUGAUAGAUGGCACACAUACCCCUAUUCUGGCACCAGCCCACCUUGCCACUGAGUACAUCAGCAGAAAGGGAUACUUUCCAAGGUUAUGCAAGUGUAUUGUUCACUGGGGACACUUCACUCAUAUGGAGGUGGGCCACUCAGGGAAGGUGAAUGAUGCUUGCAUCUUUAAGAAACACAGGACUUUUCAAAAAGCUGCAAGCAGGAACAUUCUUCCACAGCCAGCAGAUUACCAUUGGUGAUGUUGAAAUGCCAAUAGUGAUUCUGGGGGAUGCAGCCUACUCCUUGCUCCCUUGGCUCAUGCAGCUGUACACUGGUCACCUUGAUGGUGCCAAGGAAAGAUUCAACUACUGGCUCAUCAGGUGCAGAACGACUACUCAAUGUGCUUUUGGUAGACUGAAGGGAUGCUGGCAGUGUUACUCACUAGAUUGGCUCUCAGUGAGAAAAAUAUCCCCAAGGUUAUAGCUGCUUGUUGUGUACUGGAUCAUAUACAUGAAACAAAGGGGAAAAGCUGUUUCCAGGGCAGAGGGGCAAGGUGGACCAGCUGUCUGAUGAAAUUGAACAGCCACACGCAAGGGCUAUUGAACAGCCAUGCACGAGGGCUGUGGAGCUUUGCUGCUGAGGGUCAGAUGUUGAGCAGGCAUGGAGAGGGCACCCGACAAGACCAUCAUGCCAGAAGCUGUUGAUUAAAAUAUACAGAUGCACCAUUAGCUUUACAAUCACAACAAUCAAGGAAAGAUAAGUCUCAAAACUCCCGUACAUUAUUCCCAUAAAUAGGAAAUGCUUAUUGACACUUUAGCUUUGGAGCACCUCACUACAGCACCACUCUGCAGCUCAAAUCAUGGCAAUGGUGAUUUUGGAUGAUAUCUCACUCCUGGGGGUGACAAAGUCAUAAAGGACCCAGCUGCUACUGGUGUCCAAGCCACCUGUGGCCAUAUACUGCUAACUUGUUUACUGACAUGGUGCCAGGCAAACUCAUCGUAGAGUGGUAUGGGAAAUCUCCAAUUGCCGUGAAAGAAACAAGGCUGCCAUCCCUAGAAAUCUUCAGGAGAGGAUUGCACAGUAUCUCUAUGAAAGUUUCAUUGAGAUCUCUCAAGAGGAUAAAAUGGACUUCUCUGUUCAGAUAAAUAAAGUACUCCACAUGCCCUUGCCGAGCCCAGCAAGCCAAGUAAGUGAAUAACAGAUGCUGAUUCUACCACUGUUUGUUCUACCUCUGACCAACCACAGGACACUAGGCUGAUGUGGAUUGUGUAAUCAGACCACCACUCUGUUUUAAUUUAUUCCCUAAUAUUUUAUUUUGUAGCAUUAGAUCUGUAGAGCAACGAAAACUCAAUAUGUUUGUUUUCUAAAAUUAUAGGUGGGGUGUGUGCUAUUUUUAAAUGGGGAGGAAAGAUGGUGGGAGGGAGGGAGAUGUGGUUUCAUGAAAAUGGGAAAAAACACAUUAUAAGGAAUAUUGCAUGUACACACUUACUCAAGUGCCUUUCCCCUACAUCAGCGGGCUCAUCACCACUCUCCUGUCAGGAUUUCAGCUCUUUUAUGGAUUUUUUUUAAAGGGGAAAAAAGGGCAUUCGACUGUGUAGAGUGGCCUGGGACACAAUUAAGACCUUUAUAAGACCAAAAUACACCAUCCAAGAAACAAAUCUGUUUAUUAAUGGUAAAAUAUGUCUUUCCCUUUUAAUCAAAUGGAACCUGACAAAGAGACUCUCUGUCCCCACAACUAUUUUAUCUAGUAAUUGGGCCAUUUGUGGAAACUAUGACAUGUUUCAAAUUACUGGAAAUGAAUAUGAGUUAGCAGUGAGAUUAUAAAAUGGCAUUGUAGUCCAAUGAACUCUUGGUGUUUACUAUACAAUCAAGUCCCUCAUUCCCCAGUACAACUAUCAUUUGGCUAGUGUUCAGUUUACAUACUGAAUUUAAACAAAUCUGUGGAAGAUUUCAACCUGAAAUAGUGGCCCAAUUUAAAUCCCCCCAAGAUGGAAUAAAUAUUUGAGGGCUAAAGUGAUCUUAAACCUAAUUCAAAAACUGGAAAUUAAUCCCAUGCUGUUAAAUUUUAGGAAUGAAUCUCCCCAUAACAGUUAUAGGAAGGCUGUUGCUUCUCAAAAUAAAUAUCCUCCCUAAUCUCCUAUGUCAACCACAACUGUUUCAGAGAAUUUAAAACCUCAUUCUUUAAUAAGCUUCACAAGACCUUUUCAAGGUUCAUUUGGUAGGCAAAAAACAAGAAUUGCUGUUAAAAAUGUAUAGGCCCAUUGAGACAUGGGAGAACUAAAUCUCCCUAACUUAGGCUAUAUUUCUGGGCAUCCCAUAUGGAGUGUUUGGCAGCAUGAUCCCAGGGAAACCCAGGACUUCAAUGGCUCCAGAUUGAACAACAGGCAGCAGGCCAAAUUAAUCUGGCAAACCUCCCAUCGUUCCCAGCUGAUCUACUACUCCCCUCAAGUCACACAGAACCCAAUUACAGAGUCAGUAUCAAACUCAGAGAUAAAAAAAUUAAAGAUGCAAAAUCUCUUAAAAUAGGUAGUUACUCUGGACUGUGUUACUAAUUUUUCUCUGAGCAUGAAUAACUAAGUCUACAAAGAAUUGUAUAUUGCAAACAUUUACUAAUAAUGAUAUUAUAGUGUCCUUUGAAGCACUGAAACAUAUUCCUGACAGACACAGGUUUUAUUUUAUUAUAUUCAAGCUAGGAAUUCCCAUUAAAAAUGAACACAAUUAGACAGAAUCCUAGUUUUAUACACAGCAAGGAAUCAUGAUUUUUAUGUGGAUCAGGUAAAUACAAUGUAUUUCUUUGGCUAUUAGGUCUUGAAACCACUUCCCUGACACAACCCCAGACAAAGACAUAACAAUGGACAGAGGUACAUGUAAUUCCAGUUCACUGAGGAGAAGAAAUAAAAAUCCUGGGAGAAAUUCAUAAUGUUAUGGUUAACAAUAACUCAAGGCAGAUACAAUGUUAUAUUGUACACAGAAAUAUUAUUUCUCAGUACUUGUAUGAUAAAAUAUGUAAAAUUAAACUAUAUAGAUGUAAGAAGGGCUCCUACGUAACUCCACUUUUUUUUUAACUCUAUCAUGUUACUUCCUGUUCCAAUUCUGGUAAAUUAUAUGCAGCACUAAUAGGAACAUAUUCAUGGUCUUACUCCAAAACAGUGUUUAUUAAGCAUUAAUCUGGGAACUCAUUUAUACAAACCUAUUAAAAACACUAUUUUUGUUAACGUUUUCACACACACACAAAAGACAUCUUGAUUUUCUGAACUAGUGAGACUACCUAACUGUACAAACCUGGAUCACUCUCAUUACAAAAUAGUAAUCAGCUAUCACAGGGCGAAAAGAGUACACACUUUCAAAGACAAACGAGUACUUCUUUAUAAAAAAUGCUGACUUUUAUUGGCAACUUUAUUUCCUUGACUUAGGGUCUUGACCUUAUAGGAUACACAAUGAGGAGGUGAUGAGCAUGUAAGGAGCCUUCCCCUCUUGCAAGAUCCUCCAGGCAGAAUUGUAGUCAGGGGAGUCCAUGGGCUGUUCCCUCAUUACUUCCCAAAGGAAACCUGAUACCCCAAAAGAGGCAGAGAUGGGUAGAAACGGGGGUGAGACCAUGGUCCUGCCCCCUCUCCACAGCGACCCCAGGAUCAGGAACAGUACACAGAAUGCUACACAGAGGUUGGUAGCAGGGAGCACUCCCCCAAUGUGCUGGGGAAUGAACUUGAGGAGGAGGAAAAGGAGAGAUGGUGCUGAUGGGAGAGGUUAGUGACAUGAUGGGGAUGAUGGGCAAAGAGGGUAAUCCUAGAAAGCACACUAUAAAUGGACUGGGGGCGGGGUCCAUGUGGAUGUCAGAGGGGCCAGGGAGAAGACAAUGGCAACAGUCAAAAUGGAGAAGACAACAGAGUGAAGAAAUCUUUGUUGACAGAGGCUAUGGAGGAAGAAAGCCAUAUUUUGACACAGCCUGGAAGUUCAAGGUGAGAGAAAGGGAAGUAUCAAAGAGAAUAUUUGGGUGUGGGUAGAAGCAUGGGUUUUGGUGACUGGGAAAUGGUUUUGCAGUGCACAUUGACAGAAAAAGAGAAGAGCAGGAAGAUUCUGGAAGGGAAAGCAGGAUUUCAGCUUUAGACAUACCAGAUGAAAUCCUGACCCUAUUAAUGUCAAUGGGAAUGGGGAGUCAAUUCCCACUGACUUCACUGAGGUCAGGAUUUCACCCAUUAAGUUGAAGUUCCUGACAACGCAUACAGAUGAGAUGUCAGAGAGACAAGUGAAGAGGCAGGGUUGGGUGGAAGGAGACAAACCAGAAGCAGAGAAGUAGUUUUGUAAGGGCAUGGCUACACUUGCAAAUGUAGAGUGCUUUG